UGGGAGGACCAUCUCCUAAGGCUAAAUACUCUCUAGUGACCGAUAGUGAACCAGUACCGUGAGGGAAAGGUGAAAAGCACCCCGGAAGGGGAGUGAAAUAGAACCUGAAACCGUGUGCUUACAAGUAGUCAGAGCCCGUUAAUGGGUGAUGGCGUGCCUUUUGUAGAAUGAACCGGCGAGUUACGAUUUGAUGCAAGGUUAAGCAGUAAAUGUGGAGCCGUAGCGAAAGCGAGUCUGAAUAGGGCGUUUAGUAUUUGGUCGUAGACCCGAAACCAGGUGAUCUACCCUUGGUCAGGUUGAAGUUCAGGUAACACUGAAUGGAGGACCGAACCGACUUACGUUGAAAAGUGAGCGGAUGAACUGAGGGUAGCGGAGAAAUUCCAAUCGAACCUGGAGAUAGCUGGUUCUCUCCGAAAUAGCUUUAGGGCUAGCCUCAAGUGAUGAUUAUUGGAGGUAGAGCACUGUUUGGACGAGGGGCCCCUCUCGGGUUACCGAAUUCAGACAAACUCCGAAUGCCAAUUAAUUUAACUUGGGAGUCAGAACAUGGGUGAUAAGGUCCGUGUUCGAAAGGGAAACAGCCCAGACCACCAGCUAAGGUCCCAAAAUAUAUGUUAAGUGGAAAAGGAUGUGGCGUUGCCCAGACAACUAGGAUGUUGGCUUAGAAGCAGCCAUCAUUUAAAGAGUGCGUAAUAGCUCACUAGUCGAGUGACACUGCGCCGAAAAUGUACCGGGGCUAAACAUAUUACCGAAGCUGUGGAUUGUCCUUUGGACAAUGGUAGGAGAGCGUUCUAAGGGCGUUGAAGCAUGAUCGUAAGGACAUGUGGAGCGCUUAGAAGUGAGAAUGCCGGUGUGAGUAGCGAAAGACGGGUGAGAAUCCCGUCCACCGAUUGACUAAGGUUUCCAGAGGAAGGCUCGUCCGCUCUGGGUUAGUCGGGUCCUAAGCUGAGGCCGACAGGCGUAGGCGAUGGAUAACAGGUUGAUAUUCCUGUACCACCUAUAAUCGUUUUAAUCGAUGGGGGGACGCAGUAGGAUAGGCGAAGCGUGCGAUUGGAUUGCACGUCUAAGCAGUAAGGCUGAGUAUUAGGCAAAUCCGGUACUCAUUAAGGCUGAGCUGUGAUGGGGAGAAGACAUUGUGUCUUCGAGUCGUUGAUUUCACACUGCCGAGAAAAGCCUCUAGAUAGAAAAUAGGUGCCCGUACCGCAAACCGACACAGGUAGUCAAGAUGAGAAUUCUAAGGUGAGCGAGCGAACUCUCGUUAAGGAACUCGGCAAAAUGACCCCGUAACUUCGGGAGAAGGGGUGCUCUUUAGGGUUAACGCCCAGAAGAGCCGCAGUGAAUAGGCCCAAGCGACUGUUUAUCAAAAACACAGGUCUCUGCUAAACCGUAAGGUGAUGUAUAGGGGCUGACGCCUG
rnacentral:rRNA from 1 species